rnacentral:rRNA from 1 species
UACGUAGGGUGCAAGCGUUGUCCGGAAUUAUUGGGCGUAAAGAGCUCGUAGGCGGUUUGUCGCGUCUGCUGUGAAAACUGGAGGCUCAACCUCCAGCCUGCAGUGGGUACGGGCAGACUAGAGUGCGGUAGGGGAGAUUGGAAUUCCUGGUGUAGCGGUGGAAUGCGCAGAUAUCAGGAGGAACACCGGUGGCGAAGGCGGGUCUCUGGGCCGAUGACUGACGCUGGAGGAGCGAAAGCGUGGGGAGCGAACAGG